rnacentral:rRNA from 1 species
GACGGAGGGUGCUAGCGUUGUUCGGAAUUACUGGGCGUAAAGGGCUCGUAGGCGGCCAACUAAGUCCGACGUGAAAUCCCAAGGCUUAACCUUGGAACUGCGUCGGAUACUGGAUGGCUUGAAUUCGGGAGAGGGAUGCAGAAUUCCAGGUGUAGCGGUGAAAUGCGUAGAUAUCUGGAGGAAUACCGGUGGCGAAGGCGGCAUCCUGGACCGACAUUGACGCUGAUGAGCGAAAGCUAGGGGAGCAAACGGG